UACGAAGGGUGCAAGCGUUACUCGGAAUUACUGGGCGUAAAGCGUGCGUAGGUGGUUUGUUAAGUCUGUUGUGAAAGCCCCGGGCUCAACCUUUGAAUGUCAGUGGAUACUGCCGGGCUAGAGUCCGGAAGAGGCGAGUGGAACUCCUGGUGUAGCGGUGGAAUGCGCAGAUAUCAGGAAGAACACCAACGGCGAAGGCAGCUCGCUGGGACGGUACUGACGCUGAGACGCGAAAGCGUGGGGAGCGAACAGG
rnacentral:rRNA from 1 species